rnacentral:rRNA from 1 species
UACGAAGGGGGCUAGCGUUGUUCGGAAUCACUGGGCGUAAAGCGCGCGUAGGCGGCUUUGUAAGUUAGAGGUGAAAGCCCGGAGCUUAACUCCGGAACUGCCUUUAAGACUGCAUCGCUAGAAUCGUGGAGAGGUGAGUGGAAUUCCGAGUGUAGAGGUGAAAUUCGUAGAUAUUCGGAAGAACACCAGUGGCGAAGGCGACUCACUGGACAAGUAUUGACGCUGAGGUGCGAAAGCGUGGGGAGCAAACAGG